rnacentral:lncRNA from 1 species
CUGCGGCGUGACUCCGGCGGCUCUCGCCGAGUUCAUGGGCCGGACGACGUUCUUAGCAACUAAUUAAGCACAGGAACAAGAUAGAGGAGGAUCGAGACGCAAUCAAUACAUAUAUAGUACUAUCAGGGAAACAGCAACGACGACGAAACAGCAAGAUCUCGAUGCGAGGCCGUCACCAUGACCACAGGCGUUCGCUAUGCCUUUUUAUUUAUUUCUAGCUCUGUCGACGCCGCCGGCCAUCAGGAUUCACUUCGCCCAGCAGGCCACCAAGGCCGUCACGACAAGGGAGACGACAGCCCACAUGAAUUGGAACAAUACUCCCCACAGCAUCUUGGUCUUGGCGCAGCAGCUGUUGCCUUUGCCUGGAGAGGAAGAGUGGUGAUGCGAGCUCGUGGUGUGUGUGUGAGAGAGAGAUGAUGCACUACGUACUAUUUGUAGUAGCCCAGGCGGCGGCUGCUGCUGCUGCUUGCAUAUAGUUGCAUUAAUUGCUGCCCGUCUCCGCCGCUCCCAGAAGACGAAACGCGAAGAGGCAAUCGACCUUGGGAGUACACCCGCCCCCCUGUGAGCGACGAGAUAAAGGAACCGGAGGUGAACAGGUCUGGCAGCGCGAUGUAUGCGUUGUCUUCGCCGCUCCAGGAACCAGAAGACGAAACGGAAACGCGGCCGGCCAGCCUGCAGGGGAGAGGGAACUCCAAGAGGAGGAGGUGGAGGCUGGCAUGCAUGGCAUGGCCUUCAAGGCUUCAAUAAGUGGUGGGCCGUUGCACGCGUCCCAGGAAUUUAGGGCACGUUU